GAUGAACGCUGGCGGCGUGCCUAAUACAUGCAAGUCGAGCGAACAGAUGAGGAGCUUGCUCCUCUGACGUUAGCGGCGGACGGGUGAGUAACACGUGGAUAACCUACCUAUAAGACUGGGAUAACUUCGGGAAACCGGAGCUAAUACCGGAUAAUAUAUUGAACCGCAUGGUUCAAUAGUGAAAGACGGUUUUGCUGUCACUUAUAGAUGGAUCCGCGCCGCAUUAGCUAGUUGGUAAGGUAACGGCUUACCAAGGCAACGAUGCGUAGCCGACCUGAGAGGGGGAGAGCCCCAAUGGGAGCGGAACCGGGGACAAUACCCCGGGGGGAGGCAGCAGAGGGGAAUUUGCGGAAGGGGGCGAAAGCCUGAGGGAACAGCGCGGGGGGGGAAAUAAAGUUCUCGGGAUCGAAAAAUUUUUUUAUGGGGGAAAAAAAAAUGUGUAAGUAAAUAUGCCCUUCUUGACGUUACUUAAUAAAAAAGCACGGGCAAACUACGUG
rnacentral:rRNA from 1 species